rnacentral:rRNA from 1 species
AUAAUGGGUCAGCGACUUAUAUUCUGUAGCAAGGUUAACCGAAUAGGGGAGCCGAAGGGAAACCGAGUCUUAACUGGGCGUUAAGUUGCAGGGUAUAGACCCGAAACCCGGUGAUCUAGCCAUGGGCAGGUUGAAGGUUGGGUAACACUAACUGGAGGACCGAACCGACUAAUGUUGAAAAAUUAGCGGAUGACUUGUGGCUGGGGGUGAAAGGCCAAUCAAACCGGGAGAUAGCUGGUUCUCCCCGAAAGCUAUUUAGGUAGCGCCUCGUGAAUUCAUCUCCGGGGGUAGAGCACUGUUUCGGCAAGGGGGUCAUCCCGACUUACCAACCCGAUGCAAACUGCGAAUACCGGAGAAUGUUAUCACGGGAGACACACGGCGGGUGCUAACGUCCGUCGUGAAGAGGGAAACAACCCAGACCGCCAGCUAAGGUCCCAAAGUCAUGGUUAAGUGGGAAACGAUGUGGGAAGGCCCAGACAGCCAGGAUGUUGGCUUAGAAGCAGCCAUCAUUUAAAGAAAGCGUAAUAGCUCACUGGUCGAGUCGGCCUGCGCGGAAGAUGUAACGGGGCUAAACCAUGCACCGAAGCUGCGGCAGCGACGCUUAUGCGUUGUUGGGUAGGGGAGCGUUCUGUAAGCCUGUGAAGGUGUACUGUGAGGUAUGCUGGAGGUAUCAGAAGUGCGAAUGCUGACAUAAGUAACGAUAAAGCGGGUGAAAAGCCCGCUCGCCGGAAGACCAAGGGUUCCUGUCCAACGUUAAUCGGGGCAGGGUGAGUCGACCCCUAAGGCGAGGCCGAAAGGCGUAGUCGAUGGGAAACAGGUUAAUAUUCCUGUACUUGGUGUUACUGCGAAGGGGGGACGGAGAAGGCUAUGUUGGCCGGGCGACGGUUGUCCCGGUUUAAGCGUGUAGGCUGGUUUUCCAGGCAAAUCCGGAAAAUCAAGGCUGAGGCGUGAUGACGAGGCACUACGGUGCUGAAGCAACAAAUGCCCUGCUUCCAGGAAAAGCCUCUAAGCAUCAGGUAACAUCAAAUCGUACCCCAAACCGACACAGGUGGUCAGGUAGAGAAUACCAAGGCGCUUGAGAGAACUCGGGUGAAGGAACUAGGCAAAAUGGUGCCGUAACUUCGGGAGAAGGCACGCUGAUAUGUAGGUGAAGUCCCUCGCGGAUGGAGCUGAAAUCAGUCGAAGAUACCAGCUGGCUGCAACUGUUUAUUAAAAACACAGCACUGUGCAAACACGAAAGUGGACGUAUACGGUGUGACGCCUGCCCGGUGCCGGAAGGUUAAUUGAUGGGGUCAGCGCAAGCGAAGCUCUUGAUCGAAGCCCCGGUAAACGGCGGCCGUAACUAUAACGGUCCUAAGGUAGCGAAAUUCCUUGUCGGGUAAGUUCCGACCUGCACGAAUGGCGUAAUGAUGGCCAGGCUGUCUCCACCCGAGACUCAGUGAAAUUGAACUCGCUGUGAAGAUGCAGUGUACCCGCGGCAAGACGGAAAGACCCCGUGAACCUUUACUAUAGCUUGACACUGAACAUUGAGCCUUGAUGUGUAGGAUAGGUGGGAGGCUUUGAAGUGUGGACGCCAGUCUGCAUGGAGCCGACCUUGAAAUACCACCCUUUAAUGUUU